GUCGACNCGGGGGCUGGUAGUGCAGAACGUGUAGGUGCAUGAGUGGUGUUUUGCUUGUGUCGGUUGGUUGGAUCCUUGCUCUGGCAACGACGUCCGUCCCCACAUGCAUCUUCAGUCGGGUCUCGUGAUACGUGUUAUCUCGAGUUUUGUAUUGGUUUCCUGUGUUGCGUACCUCUAAAGAUGGCAAUCGACAGUCCAAAACGUCCCAUUUCGCCUUUCGUCGUCCCUUCUUGUGGCGGCGCGGGGUGAACCUCGAAGUAAUCUCUGCGUCCCNCUCCACCCGCAUUCGGUUGUGGUNGUGGACUGGUCCGCAGGGUAUUCGCUUGAGCUCUCGGAUGCGGUGCAUUAUAUACGGGCAUGGGGACUCGCGUCCCCUGUUUGCCCGAACAAAAGCUUUCGUCGCUUAGUUGCGAACGAUUGCGGUCCCCGUUUCGAGCCUUCGGGCAAGUGCGGUGAUCGCUUCGUUGAGGAAUGCUACCUGGUUGAUCCUG
rnacentral:misc_RNA from 1 species